rnacentral:rRNA from 1 species
UAUCUCUGUAGAGUCUGCAUAUCAAUAAGCGGAGGAAAAGAAACUAACUAGGAUUCCCUCAGUAACGGCGAGCGAAGCGGGAAGAGCUCAAAUUUGAAAUCUUCAAGGUUCUACCUUGACGAAUUGUAGUUUAAAGAAGUGUUUUCUGUUGGAGUUUUGGUAAAAGUUCUUUGGAAUAGGACAUCAUAGAGGGUGAGAAUCCCGUAUUUGACCAUUAUUUCCAGCUUUGUGAUACACUUUCAAAGAGUCGGAUUGUUUGGGAAUGCAGUCCAAAAUGGGUGGUAAAUUUCAUCUAAAGCUAAAUAUUGGCGAGAGACCGAUAGCGAACAAGUACCGUGAGGGAAAGAUGAAAAGAACUUUGAAAAGAGAGUUAAACAGUACGUGAAAUUGUCAAAAGGGAAGCGUUUGACACCAGUGUUGUUUUCCUCGAAAAUCAAUUAAAAAAUGGACGGGAUUUUGUGUUGUAUUGACUUUAUCAGCUUUCUGCACUCUUUUCCUUGUCUUUUUUAAUGCACUUUUCGUUUAACAAGUCAACAUCAAUUUCUUUUGUUGUAAAAGGGUCAUUGGAAGGUGGCUUUCUUUUCGGAGAAAGUGUUUAUAGCCUUUGGCCUCUGCAAUCGGAGAGAUUGAGGUCUGCAGCGUAGAUCCUUCGGGGUUAGAUACAUUCUGUGCUAAGCUAUAGCCUUUCAUAGACAACUUGUUGACUAUGAUUAGUCAUGUAGCUUACCUCGCUGCUGCUAUUUUACCUACGCUUAGGAUGUUGAGUCAUCACACAUCUCU